rnacentral:lncRNA from 1 species
CUAUAUACCUGGUUUUUUGCCUGGCUCCCAAAACAUGUCGUCGUAAAGUGCUUAAAUAAGAGUUCCCAGUCUGGUCCCUAAAAACGACACUAUUUUGAGGAGUUUAAUAAUGAAUUCCUAGCCUGGACGAGGAGCUUUCCCAUUUCUUCUUUUUCACUUUCCAACACAAGAAAGGUUAUGAUAAGAUUAGUACAAAAAAGAUGCUGAAAGAGACCGACAUUGAAGGAGAGAAGACAGGGAGAGAUCGACGCUGAAGGAGACCAAAGUUAAGAAUAAAAAUCAUAAAAGCUGAAGCUAAAAGACGUAUUAGCUUUUCUUCCUUUUUAGCCAUUCUUUUUUGACAACAUUUGAAUUGAAGAAGACAAAAAGACAGAAGUCAAU